rnacentral:lncRNA from 1 species
UAUUAUUAUCAUUAUUAUUAGUGUUAUCAUUAUCAUUAUAUUAUUAUUAUUGUUAUCAUUAUCAUUAUUAUUUACGUUAUUCUUUUUAUAAUCAUCAUGGGCAAAAAAUCACAAAUGAAACAAAGAUAGAAUUAUAAAACGAUAUUAAGAAUAGAAUGAUGCAGUUACAAGAGGCAAUGAGAAAGCAAGAGAGAAAGUAGAGUGGUAAAGUCAUGAGGAAGAUUAAAUAAUAGAAUGAUGGAGGUUAGCGAUAGGAAAAAAUGAAUGUAUGCACGGAUAUAUGAAUGCAUGAGUGUAUUUGGAUAGAAAAACAACAACAACAACAGUAUGUUUAGUUUAAAACAAGGGACAGAGAGUAGAAUGAAGAGCCACAGGACGUUUAGAAUGAGGAAUUGUAGUAUAAUAAGGAAAACGGUAAUUGGUACGGAAGGUAGAUAGAGAGAAAUGUAAUAAACUGAUAAGAAUUAUCAAGAAUGUUAGAAAGGGAAGGCUAGUAGCAGUAGUUAGAACAAAAUAGAUAGAAAGGGAAAUGUGACAGAGUGAGGAAAAGCAAGUGGAGUUGUAAGAAACAGCAAAUUCGAUUUUAUGAUGAAAUUCCAAACGAAGCCAAACAAAGACGAAAGUGAUAGGAAUGUGAAUUUCAAUUUCAAGUGACAGUUAAUUUAAGUCAUGCAAAUGUUUCAGUAGCAAUAUUCAUCAAUAGUGACAUAUUGAUGCAAAUGUUUCAAUAGCAAUAAGCAUCAAUAGUGACAUAUUGAUGGAAUGACUGGUUGACAAAUGACAGAAAGGGAAUGACGAAACAAGAUGGGUUGAGAGAUAUUUGGUUGGCUGAUAAAGAUGGCAAUCUGGUGAAAAAGGAUAUAUGAAUAAAACUGUUACAAAGAAAAACUUGGUUUAUAGAAAAUGGCAAGCUGAAGAGGUUGGUUGAUACAAGAAGGUGUGAAAAUGAAUUGAAAUUAUUAACAAAGGAACAAAAGAGGUUGAUGAAUAAAGGUUCAUGACCGAAAGAAUGAUUGAUAAAGAUAAUAACACUGUGAAAGGACUCGGUGACAAGAAUGAAAGGUUUGGUUGAUAAGAAAAGUAUAAUUAUGAAAAGUUUGAGGCAUAUAACAUUAUGAAAGGUUAAGGUGGUGAUGAAAAUGGUAGCAUUAUGAAAUUUCUGCUUGAUAAAAUGAUGGUACAAUGAGAGGUAUGGUUGAUAAGAUGAUGGUACUAUGAACGGUUUGGUUGACAUAAAUGGUAAUAUCAUGUAAAGCUAGGAUGAUAAAACCGGUAGCUAAUGAAAUGGCAGUAUCAUGGAAAAUUUGGUUGAUAAAAGGUAUCAUUAUGAAAGGUUUGGUUGAUAUAAAUGGUAUCAUUAUAAAAAAUUUGGUUGAUGAAAAUGGUUACAUUAUGAAGAGUUUUAUUAGAUGGUAGUAUUAUGAAAAUUUUGGUUGAUAAAUAUGGUAGCAUUAUAUUUAUAUUAUUUAGUGAUAAACAUGGUAGCAUUUUGAAAGUUUGGUUGAUAAAAACUGGUAGCAUAAUGAAAAGAUUAUGAAAAGUUUUGGUUGACAACAUAUUUUAUAUAUGAAAAAUUGGUUGAUGAACAUUGGUAUCAUUAUGAAAAGUGUGGUUGAUAUAAUGAUGCUACUAUGAAAGGUUCGGUUAAUAAAAAUGUUAGCAUUAAGAAAGGUCUCAAUGGUAAAAGUACUAAAAAAUGGAAAGAUUCAGUUGAAAUAUCGGUUAAUAAAAUGGUAACAUUAUGAAAACUUUAUUAAAUAUAUUGCAAUGAAGCGUCUAUUUGAGAAAAAUUGCACGAUGAUGAAAAGGAUUAGCAGUGAAAGAAUGAUUGAAGAUUAGUGUAUUACAAUCGUAUAAAGCAAUGUAAUGGUGGUAAAAAUCUUGUACAUUGAAAAGAAUGGUUGCUGAAAAAGGCAUGACAUAAAGAUUUGGUAUUAAUGGAAUAUUGAAAAUUUCUGGGAUAAAAACUCAUAUGUGGUGGAUGUUUCGAUUUAUGAAGAAAUAUAUAUAUAUAUAAUGAACAUUUUGGUUGGCGAAUAUCAUAAAGAUGGAAAUAUCGGUUAUUAAAGAUAGUCGAAUAGUGAAAAGUUGGUUGAUAAAAUGAGAUGAUGAAAUGGCUGGUUAGUAAAACGAAUAUAAUGAAAAGAUUGGGUCGCAAAAAUGUUACUAUGAUGAAAGGUCAUGGAUGAUAUAAAGGGUAUGUUGAGUUAAUCAACAAGAUAGUAAGGUAAAGGUUAGUUAAUAGUCAUGGUAUAAUGAAAAGCGAGGUUAUUAACAAAACAGUGGUAACAAAUUGGGUGGUUAAUGAAACAUGUAGUGGUAAAAAAUAUUGAUAAAUGAAAAUAGGACAGUGGUAUAGCCGUUGGGCAAUUGAAAUGGCGUAGUGAUGAGAUGAAAUAAAACGCGGGUUGAACAAAUGGGAGGUUAAAGUAAAAUGCUCGCAUGUUUCAGAAAUGAAUGAAAAUAAUGACAGUAAAAUGACCGCAUAUUUCAUAUUAAAUAUGAGUAGUAAUAUUAAAAUAACCGCAUAUAUCAGGGUUAGAUAUAAGUGAGGAUAGUUGAACGAAUAACUAUUCCUGGUUGUAUAAGAAAGCUGAUUAAAGUGAUCGCUUGAUAUAGGGGCAAAAAAGAAUGAUAGUAGCUCUGUACUGAAAUAGACCUGAACUCUAUAAAAAUACUAAUGUUUAAGAUGAUCGCUAGGUGCUGUGUUGAAUAAGAAUGAUAAUGAUAAUGGUUCUAUUCAGAAUUUGACUUAAGUUGAAUGAUAAGUUGACAAUCCAUUAUAGAUAAAGUUAUACCGACAGAAUGCCAAUGUAAGAACGUUGACUUGUGCUGAAUAUUAUUAAGAUAAAAUAAUGAUUUAAUUCCGGGCUGAAGAAUAUUAGAAUAAAAUGAUAAUAUAUUCCUAGGCUGAUUAUUAAGAUGGUAAACUGAGUUUGUCCCGGGCUGAUUAUUAUGAAAGUGAAAUGAUGAGUUGGUCCAAGAUUAAACGUUACUGGAGUAAAAUGGUGAGUGAAUUCUAAGCUGAAUAUCAAGGUAAAAGAUGAGUUAGUCAUAUUAGUAAAAUGAGUUAGUCCCGGACUGAAUAGCAUUAAGGUAAAAUGAUGAGUUAUUUUUGGGCUGAAUGUCAAGAAGGUAAAAUGAUGAGGUUGUUUCAGACUGAAUAUUAUUGAAGUAAAAGUAUUAGUGAGUCCUGGACUGAUUAUUAUUAAAGUGAUAUGAUGAAGAAGUCUCGGGCACAAUAUCAUAAUGGGCUGAAUAAUAUUAAUGGCUGAAUAUUUUUAAGGUAAAAUGAUGAGUUAGUUCCGGGCUGAAUAUCAUAAUGCUAAUAUGGUGAAUUACUUCCCUGCUGUAUAUCAUUAAGGUAAAAUGAUUUAUUCUUGGGCUGAAUAUCAUUAAGGUAAAAUGAUUUAUUCUUGGGCUGAAUAUCAUUAAGGUAAAAUGAUUUACUACUGGGCUGAAUAUCAUUAAGGUAAAAUGAUUUACUACUGGGCUGAAUAUCAUUAAGGUAAAAUGAUUUACUACUGGGCUGAAUAUCAUUAAGGUAAAAUGAUUUACUACUGGGCUGAAUAUCAUUAAGGUAAAAUGAUUUAUUCUUGGGCUGAAUAUCAUUAAG